ACUUACAAUGGUUGAUAGUCAUUUCCGCAACAAGUGGUGUGUACAAUAACUAUAUAGUAAUAGCUAGUAAAUGGAUUGUAAUAGUUAACCGCAUGCUCCGAUGAUUACAAAUGCCUUAAUCAUGUGAUAAUAGCUACGGGCAUAUUGUCAUUGGUAUUGUCGAACUGGUACGAUGGCAUCUUCAAAUCGUUCAUGUCCAAGAUGAUGAGGUCAAUCAUGCUUAGUUGGUUCACCUCGGA
rnacentral:lncRNA from 1 species